UGGUGGGUGCCUCUGUGUGUGCAUAGAUGCAUGUGUGUAAGUGCAAGAUCUCUCUACUGGCCCUGUGGAAACUGUUCCGGUAUCACAGACGAGGUUUCCCAAACUGUCCAGAAAAAAGUCUCCCACAACAACACACUUCAAGAGCUGUGACAUCCCAGCCAUGUCUGCUGAAGAGGUGCCAUUCCCCGAGUUUACUAUUAAAUUGCUUUCUCAGAGAGAAGAUACGCCAGUUAA